AUUUUGAAGCCUUUCAUACUCCUCUUGGCUAAACUUUGUAACUUGUGUCUGCUCACCCAGUGCAGCUUGUAGUCUAAAAAUCUGAGUUAUAAAGAACUGUUAUUACCGAGACGUAUGAAAAGGAUUCAACAAAAAUUGGUUUAACAAAAAAAUAUAGUGGUUUAACUCAUUCUUAAAUGAGGAAUUGGCAAAAAGAUAAUGUUGUAACCCUGUAACUACAUAUCAGAUAAAGGGCUUUCACCUCCUCAACGAGAUCUGUUCUAGGCAUCUUGUUCACCGUAUCGGGGGAGAACGUAUUGUACUCGAAGUUCCAUUCAGCACAGACAUAAGGACCAAUGCGAAGAUGAGCAUAGAGACCAGCUUUUUGUAUUAUCUUCAUGAAUCUCACUAGAUCGUAUCUUCCUUCAAAAUUGCACUGAGUUGAGUAGCA